GUCAGGAUGGCCGAGCGGUCUAAGGCGCCAGACUUAAGGUUUCUAUUCCCCCGCCUAGGAUUUCUGGUCUUCGGAGGGAGGCGUGGGUUCGAAUCCCACUUCUGACA
rnacentral:tRNA from 1 species